GACGAACGCUGGCGGCGUGCCUAACACAUGCAAGUCGAACGGAGUACCUUCGGGUGCUUAGUGGCGAACGGGUGAGUAACGCGUGAGAAACCUGCCUUUCAGUGGGGGACAACAGUUGGAAACGACUGCUAAUACCGCAUAAUGUUCCGAGGGGGCAUCCCUUUGGAACCAAAGCUUUAUGUGCUGAAAGAUGGUCUCGCGUCUGAUUAGCUAGUUGGUGAGGUAACGGCUCACCAAGGCGACGAUCAGUAGCCGGUCUGAGAGGAUGAACGGCCACAUUGGGACUGAGAUACGGCCCAGACUCCUACGGGAGGCAGCAGUGGGGAAUAUUGGGCAAUGGGGGAAACCCUGACCCAGCAACGCCGCGUGAAGGAAGAAGGCCCUCGGGUUGUAAACUUCUUUUACCAGGGACGAAGAAAGUGACGGUACCUGAGAAAAAGCAACGGCUAACUACGUGCCAGCAGCCGCGGUAAUAC
rnacentral:rRNA from 1 species